GGCUCCUCAAUGUAUCCCAGCCAUCCCUGGGUUGCGCUGAGCCCAUGAACCCACAAGCAGUGACUUCUAUCCUACAAGAGCAGACUUUCUGUCAUAACAGAAGCUAAUCCUAACUGAAACAAUUAUUGAGUGAUCAUUUACAACAUGGCAAAUCACAUCAUCACCUUACCUGGAGCACUGUAGAGAAAAUGGAAGAGAAUCCCUGAGCUAAAAUGAAGAGGCAACAGCAAGUUCAGAGACCCCACUAUCAAUGAAAGGCUACAGAACAGAGACAAGAAAAACUCAUGGGAGAAGACAGAUACAGACUCCUGAUAAUUCACACAGCCAAUCCCAGGAGGAG